rnacentral:rRNA from 1 species
CAGCAGCCGCGGGAAUACGAGGGGGGCAAGCGUUGUUCGGAAUUAUUGGGCGUAAAGGGUGCGUAGGCGGUUUGGCAAGUUUGGUGUGAAAUCUUCGGGCUCAACUCGAAGUCUGCAUCGAAAACUGCCGGGCUUGAGUAUGGGAGAGGUGAGUGGAAUUUCCGGUGUAGCGGUGAAAUGCGUAGAUAUCGGAAGGAACACCUGUGGCGAAAGCGGCUCACUGGACCAUAACUGACGCUGAUGCACGAAAGCUAGGGGAGCAAACAGGAUUAGAGACCCGUGUAGUCCCUGUCUCUUAUAC